UUUGCAUUAUACUUGUGUUCUGAACAGCUGAGUGUAAUCCUUGACAUCUAGAAUAAAGACUCAGUUGGCUACAGACUGUGGUCCAUGGACUUCUCUAGUGGGUUCUCAUUUAAAGUAAAUUUGCUGAAAAUUUCAGUCUUGUCACAUGCCCAUAAGUUUCAGUGCCUUGUGAAUCUGAGUGGUCUUUGUCUCCAAACACAAGUAGGCACAGUAGAUUUUGUGAGGCAAUACAUUAAUUUUGUCUUUCCUUCUGGUGUCAUUUCAGGACUGGCAAAAAUUGAAGAAAACUCAGAAACUAAGUAGCCUAUAGUUUGACCAGGUAAAAGAAGUCUUAGGAAUUAAAACUGGUUAAACAAAGCCUAUGCAGUCCAGGAACCCAGUCCAUGUGAAGACAUCAGCCAUAUUUGAAAAGAUAUAGAUGGGCACAACAAGACUAUCUGAAUUCUGGUAUGAUACCUUCUGAGAAACACGCUCCACUGCAUUGCCUGGAACCAGGGGUUGGCCUACACUGAGGGCAAACAAAUUAUUCACAGAGAAUUAAAUGUCUCAUAUUGCUAAGA